rnacentral:lncRNA from 1 species
GGUCCCCCGGUGUCCAGACACGACCAGCCGUCUUGAAAACAUUGCUUUCAGGCACAUUCCCAUAAUUAAAACGAGGAUCCACAUCAGAUGGGGCUUGUAUUAAGCGCUUGCGGCCGUUUAUAGGGUUCCACACAAAGACUUGAUGCCAUGUUGAAUCAACAAGGAGGACAUGGCCGUGGCGGCAGCCAAGGACAUUCCAGUAAAGAUCAGGUAGAGAGAAAGAUGCUGCAGCAACACGGUUAGGAGGAUCCCCAGCAGGGAGAAAUCGAGGGAUGCGAGUGGAGUUGGUGAAA